rnacentral:rRNA from 1 species
UUAAGUUAAUAAGGGCGCACGGUGGAUGCCUUGGCACUAGAAGCCGAUGAAGGACGUGACUAACGACGAAAUGCUUUGGGGAGCUGUAAGUGAGCAAUGAUCCAGAGAUGUCCGAAUGGGGGAACCCGGCAGGUAAUGCCUGUCACUCAUUACUGUUAAGGUAAUGUAGAGGAAGACGCAGUGAACUGAAACAUCUAAGUAGCUGCAGGAAGAGAAAGCAAAAGCGAUUGCCUUAGUAGCGGCGAGCGAAACGGCAAGAGGGCAAACCGAAGAGUUUACUCUUCGGGGUUGUAGGACUGCAACGUGGACUUAAAGAUUAUAGAAGAACUACCUGGGAAGGUAGGCCAAAGAGAGUAAUAGCCUCGUAUUCGAAAUAGUCUUUAUACCUAGCAGUAUCCUGAGUACGGCGAGACACGAGAAAUCUCGUCGGAAUCUGGGAGGACCAUCUCCCAACCCUAAAUACUCUCUAGUGACCGAUAGUGAACCAGUACCGUGAGGGAAAGGUGAAAAGCACCCCGGGAGGGGAGUGAAAUAGAACCUGAAACCGUGUGCCUACAACAAGUUCGAGCCCGUUAAUGGGUGAGAGCGUGCCUUUUGUAGAAUGAACCGGCGAGUUACGAUAUGAUGCGAGGUUAAGUUGAAGAGACGGAGCCGUAGGGAAACCGAGUCUUAAUAGGGCGCAUUAGUAUCAUGUCGUAGACCCGAAACCAUGUGACCUACCCAUGAGCAGGUUGAAGGUGAGGUAAAACUCACUGGAGGACCGAACCAGGGCACGUUGAAAAGUGCUUGGAUGACUUGUGGGUAGCGGAGAAAUUCCAAACGAACUUGGAGAUAGCUGGUUCUCUCCGAAAUAGCUUUAGGGCUAGCGUCGAUGUUAAGUCUCUUGGAGGUAGAGCACUGUUUGGGUGAGGGGUCCAUCCCGGAUUACCAAUCUCAGAUAAACUCCGAAUGCCAACGAGAUAUAAUCGGCAGUCAGACUGCGAGUGCUAAGAUCCGUAGUCGAAAGGGAAACAGCCCAGACCACCAGCUAAGGUCCCAAAAUAUAUGUUAAGUGGAAAAGGAUGUGGGGUUGCACAGACAACUAGGAUGUUAGCUUAGAAGCAGCUAUUCAUUCAAAGAGUGCGUAAUAGCUCACUAGUCGAGUGACCCUGCGCCGAAAAUGUACCGGGGCUAAAACAUAUUACCGAAGCUGUGGAUACCUUUAUAGGUAUGGUAGGAGAGCGUUCUAUGUGCGAAGAAGGUGUACCGUGAGGAGUGCUGGAGCGCAUAGAAGUGAGAAUGCCGGUAUGAGUAGCGAAAGACAGGUGAGAAUCCUGUCCACCGUAAGACUAAGGUUUCCAGGGGAAGGCUCGUCCGCCCUGGGUUAGUCGGGACCUAAGGAGAGACCGAAAGGUGUAUCCGAUGGACAACAGGUUGAUAUUCCUGUACUAGAGUAUAUAGUGAUGGAGGGACGCAGUAGGCUAACUAAACCAGACGAUUGGAAGUGUCUGGCCAAGCAGUGAGGUGUGAUAUGAGUCAAAUGCUUAUAUCUAUAACAUUGAGCUGUGAUGGGGAGCGAAGUUUAGUAGCGAAGUUAGUGAUGUCACACUGCCGAGAAAAGCUUCUAGCGUUAAUUAUACUCUACCCGUACCGCAAACCGACACAGGUAGUCGAGGCGAGUAGCCUCAGGUGAGCGAGAGAACUCUCGUUAAGGAACUCGGCAAAAUGGCCCCGUAACUUCGGGAGAAGGGGCGCUGACUUAUGGUCAGCCGCAGUGAAUAGGCCCAAGCAACUGUUUAUCAAAAACACAGCUCUCUGCUAAAUCGUAAGAUGAUGUAUAGGGGGUGACGCCUGCCCGGUGCUGGAAGGUUAAGAGGAGUGCUUAGCGUAAGCGAAGGUAUGAAUUGAAGCCCCAGUAAACGGCGGCCGUAACUAUAACGGUCCUAAGGUAGCGAAAUUCCUUGUCGGGUAAGUUCCGACCCGCACGAAAGGCGUAAUGAUUUGGGCACUGUCUCAACGAGAGACUCGGUGAAAUUUUAGUACCUGUGAAGAUGCAGGUUACCCGCGACAGGACGGAAAGACCCCAUGGAGCUUUACUGCAGUUUGAUAUUGAGUAUCUGUACCACAUGUACAGGAUAGGUAGGAGCCUAUGACCUCGGGACGCCAGUUUCGAGUGAGGCGUUGUUGGGAUACUACCCUUGUGUUAUGGCUACUCUAACCCAGAUAGGUUAUCCCUAUCGGAGACAGUGUCUGACGGGCAGUUUGACUGGGGCGGUCGCCUCCUAAAAGGUAACGGAGGCGCCCAAAGGUUCCCUCAGAAUGGUUGGAAAUCAUUCGCAGAGUG